rnacentral:rRNA from 1 species
GAUCAUGGCUCAGGAUGAACGCUAGCUACAGGCUUAACACAUGCAAGUCGAGGGGCAGCAUGGUUCUUAGCUUGCUAAGGCCGAUUGGCGACCGGCGCACGGGUGAGUAACACGUAUCCAACCUGCCGUCUACUCUUGGACAGCCUUCUGAAAGGAAGAUUAAUACAAGAUGGCAUCAUGAGUUCACAUGUUCACAUGAUUAAAGGUAUUCCGGUAGACGAUGGGGA